GGCACUAUAGCCAAGUGGUUACGGCGAUAGAUUCGAAUUCGCGUUCUUCUAUUACUCUCUGAGUGCGCAGGUUCAAAUCCUGCUGGUGUCG